GCGCGAAACCUCUGCAAUAGGCGAAAGCUUGACAGGGUUACUCUGAGUGAUUUCCGUUAAGGAGAUCUUUUGGCACCUCUAAAAAUGGUGCAGAAUAAGGGGUGGGCAAGUCUGGUGUCAGCCGCCGCGGUAAUACCAGCACCCCGAGUGGUCGGGACGUUUAUUGGGCCUAAAGCAUCCGUAGCCGGUUCUACAAGUCUUCCGUUAAAUCCACCUGCUUAACAGAUGGGCUGCGGAAGAUACUAUAGAGCUAGGAGGCGGGAGAGGCAAGCGGUACUCGAUGGGUAGGGGUAAAAUCCGUUGAUCCAUUGAAGACCACCAGUGGCGAAGGCGGCUUGCCAGAACGCGCUCGACGGUGAGGGAUGAAAGCUGGGGGAGCAAACCGGAUUAGAUACCCGGGUAGUCCCAGCUGUAAACGAUGCAGACUCGGUGAUGAGUUGGCUUAUUGCUAACUCAGU
rnacentral:rRNA from 1 species